UGGAUAGGGGUGAAAUGCCAACCGAACGUGGAGAUAGCUGGUUCUCCCCGAAAUGUAUUGAGGUACAGCCACCACGUAUGUGUGCUGGAGGUAGCGCACUGGAUGGGGACGGGGCCAAACGCUGGUUACCAACCUCAACCAAACGACCAAUGCCAGCACGACCCAGUGGUGCGUGAGACGGCGGGGGCUAAGCUUCGUCGUCGAAAGGGAAACAGCCCAGACCACCAGCUAAGGUCUCUCAAUCGAUGCUCAGUGUCAAAGGCCGUCCGUUUGCUCCAACAGCCAGGAUGUUGGCUUAGAAGCAGCCAUCAUUGAAAGAGUGCGUAAUAGCUCACUGGUCGAGUGCGCCCGCGCCGACAACGUAGCGAGGCUCAAGCAUCGUACCGACGCUGUGGAUAUCCGUGUGCUGAGGCAACUCAGCCCAGAAUGGGUAUGGUAGGGGAGCGUUCCGCCCAGCGGAGAAGCCUGAUCGGAAGAACAGGUGGAGCGAGCGGAAGAGCGAAUGCCGGAAUGAGUAGCGUCAUUGGGUGUGCGAACCACCCACACCGCAAGCCUGAGGGUUCCUGGGCACCGUCAAUCGUCCCAGGGUCAGUCGGGUCCUAAGCCGAGGACGUCAUAGUCGUAGGCGAUGGCAAGCAGGUUGGAUAGUCCUGCACCAGCAGGCGUCGUUAUGAGGUAGGCGGGGACGCGAUAGGGACCCGCAGCCGGUCGAAUGGACAGGACCGGUUGGCAACUGGAAGCCGCACACCGUGGCAAAUCCCGGUGUGGUGACGGUGACCGCUGUCACGAGCCUUCGUAAGAGGGCGGAAGUGCGCCAUCCCCAGGUCGCCCAGAAAAGCCGCUCCCCAGACGCUCUUGCUGCCCGUACCGCACACCGACACUGGUAGGCUGGGGGACUUCCCCCCAGGUGGACGAGCGCACCUCUGUCAAGGAACUCGGCAAAUUGACCCCGUACCUUCGGAAGAAGGGGUACCCUGGUAGCUUCCUCCCGUUGCAAUACGAGAGGGGGUGAGAGGGUCGCAGUGAAAGGGCUCAAGCGACUGUUUACCAAAAACACAGGUCUCUGCCAACGCGCAAGCGGAUGUAUAGGGGCUGACUCCUGCCCAGUGCCGGAAGGUCAAGCGGACUCGUGGUCGUAGCGAGGAAGCGAAGCCCCGGUGAACGGCGGCCGUAACUAUAACGGUCCUAAGGUAGCGAAAUUCCUUGUCGGGUAAGUUCCGACCCGCACGAAAGGAGUAACGACUUGAGCACUGUCUCGACAGGGGGCUCGGCGAAAUUGAAGUACCCGUGAAGAUACGGGUUUCCCACGACAGGACAAAAAGACCCCGUGGAGCUUUACUACACCCUGGUCUGGAGACGAGCGCAGGCCUGCGUAGCAUAGGUGGGAGCCGGAGAACCCCUCCUUGUGGGGAGGGGGGAGGCGUCGGUGAAAUACCACUCUUGUCUGUGCUUGUCUCUCAUGUCUCAUCCGUGAUCCGGCAGGCAGACAGGGCCAGGCGGGGAGUUUGACUGGGGCGGU
rnacentral:rRNA from 1 species